rnacentral:rRNA from 1 species
GUAAUCGUGGAUCAGCAUGCCACGGUGAAUACGUUCCCGGGCCUUGUACACACCGCCCGUCACACCAUGGGAGUCGGUAACACCCGAAGCCUGUAGUCUAACCGCAAGGAGGACGCAGUCGAAGGUGGGAUUGAUGGCUGGGGUGAAGUCGUAACAAGGUAAC